GAGAGCGCCAGGUUGUGAUGUCUUCAGAAGUAAAUUGUUCAGAGAAUACGGAAGGAAUUGUACAAGGCUAAUACAUAAGUUAGUAACCAAAUAAUGCAAAAAUCCCAGUUAUCAACAAUUAUUUGAUGGCAACAAAACCACCUACUUUGUAUGUCUUCACAUUGAGAUCGUGGGCAAAAAUCAAGUUUAUAAAAAAAAAGUAGAAAAGAA